UGGGGAAUAUUGGACAAUGGAGGAAACUCUGAUCCAGCAAUUCUGUGUGUGUGAAGAAGGUUUUAGGACUGUAAAACACUUUUAGUAGGGAAGAAAAAAAUGACGGUACCUACAGAAGAAGCAACGGCUAAAUACGUGACAGCAGCCGCGGUAAUACGUAUGUUGCGAGCGUUAUCCGGAAUUAUUGGGCUUAAAGGGCAUCUAGGCGGUAAGACAAGUUGAAGGUGAAAACCUGUGGCUCAACCAUAGGCUUGCCUACAAAACUGUUGAACUAGAGUACUGGAAAGGUGGGUGGAAAUACACGAGUAGAGGUGAAAUUCGUAGAUAUGUGUAGGAAUGCCGAUGAUGAAGAUAACUCACUGGACAGAAACUGACGCUGAAGUGCGAAAGCUAGGGGAGCAAACAGG
rnacentral:rRNA from 1 species